rnacentral:rRNA from 1 species
UCCGGAGGAUGCAAUCGUUAUCCGGAUUUAUUGGGUUUAAAGGGUGCGUAGGCGGACGAAUAAGUCAGUGGUGAAAACCUGCAGCUUAACUGUAGACUUGCCGUUGAUACUGUUUGUCUUGAGUGUGGUCAAGGUAGGCGGAAUGUGUAAUGUAGCGGUGAAAUGCUUAGAUAUUACACAGAACACCGAUUGCGAAGGCAGCUUGCUGGGCCAUUACUGACGCUGAUGCACGAAAGCGUGGGGAUAGAACAGG